CAAGACUUAGAGCACAAAUCCCAACAAUCUUCGACCCAAAAACUCUCCUAGUUCAACUUACGGUCCAACCCAAGACUUUUGUUUCUCCUUAAAUAAUUUGAAAACAAAAAGAAACCCUAAAAAAAAGAGAGACGUGCGCUGCUUUUCAUCUUCAACUGCUCGACGCCUCUCUUCUUCUCUCGUAGUCUCCACUCCACGACCAAACGUUCACCUUUUCUUAAUCUCCAUCUUCUCUUUUUUACGGAAAGCCUUCAUUUUCACUUUACACCUCCACAGCCAGACCUUCAACUUCACCGCUCAGCCACAACCAUCCGUGUUUCCUUCGAAUUUCGAAGCUCCAUUUCGCCACUGGAGAUCGAGUUCAGUCCACUCAAACAAAAGGAAUUGGAAGAAGUCUUGAGUUUGUGUCUGUUCAUGAGAUCGACGCAAGGAGAAGGAUUUUGUUGAAGGCGGUCUUCAAGAGAUAUUCUUCUCAUUUCUUAAUAGCAUGUUGUAGAAUUAAUAUCUAUCUUGCACAUUUUCUAUGUAUUUUCUCUAUUUUUCAAGUUUCCAAAACGAAUUUCAUUGGCACAAGCAUUCAAGUGCUUUCGAUGGGGAAUUCAAUUCCUUCAAAUGGAUCAACAUUGAAAGGCAAAUACAAAUAUGUCAUGUUGGUGCCUAUUUGUUUCGACAGUAAUAACCAACUAUACCCACUUGUGUAUGGGAUAGUCGACAAGAAGUCUGAUUCUUGAUGGUCAUAUUUUAUGCAACACCUUAAAAGUUGCAUAGGGGAGGACCUAAACAUGGUCAUCGUUUUUUACCACCACAAAGGAAUAACGAACGCAGUAGCCCGAGUAUUUCCAAAUACGUUCCACGCAUUGUGCACUUACCACUUGAAAAAAAACAUAGCGAAGGAUAGUGUGAUACUGAAGGUUUUCAAUGAUGUAGCGAGAGUGUAUAGGGAGUAUGAAUUCAAUAGAUAUUUGGAAGAACUGCGUGGUUUCAAAAAUGGUGUCGUGACACAAUACUUGGAGAGUGUCGGGUUAGAGCAAUAGACUCGAGUCCACCAAACUACAAGACGGUAGGACAACAUGACAAGCAACGGUGCAGAGUGCUUCAAUUCACUUACAGUAGAGGCAAAACUGCUACCAAUAAUACCUUUGUUUGAAUUUAUUAGAGAAAAACUCAAGGAAUGGUCUUUCGACCAACAAAACUAAUGGUCAAUAAAAACUCAAGGAAUGGCCUUUCGACCAACAAAACUAAUGGUCAUUCUGUACGCCAUUAUAUUUAGACAACAUUGAAAAGCAAAUGGCAGAAGAUUUUGAGAUGGGUAGAUGGUACCGGAUAAGUCCAAUUGACUAUCAUACAUUCAUCGUAAAGGACGAUCACUUGGAUGGUAUUGUCAACAUAAACAGUCAUCAAUGCACAUGUAAAAAGUUCGACUUCAUGGAGAUUCCAUGCUCACAUACAAUAGUUGCUAUAAGGUCUGGGAACAUUAACCCGCACACGUUUUUCAGCCAAUCUUAUAGUGUGAACUCCCUUAUCUUUGUGUUUGCAGAACCCAUCUUCCCCACUGGACAUUCUUCAGAGUGGAGGAGACCAUCAGGAUACGUGUAUUUCAUUAUACGACCACCAAAAACAACCUCCAUUGCUGGUUUGUCGUGUGUUAAUCGAAUUCCAUCUACUAGAGAACAAGGGGCCUAAAGAUGCAUGGGGUGUGGAAAUUCGGGACACAAUAGCAGAACGUGCACUAAGCCCUUGUCAAGCAAUAUAAAUAGUGACCAACGAUGAUAAAGAGAACUUAGUUUUCUGUCUAACCUUCCAAUCCAAUCCAAAUUCCCUCUCGAUUGGAGCUCCACCAUUCAAUCCAAGGCUUGAGAUUAGUAAAGAAUUAUUUUUUGGAGGUCUAAUACAAAGUUUGAAGGAGAAUUCUGUGGAGAAAGCAAGGAAUUUGUGGAAAUCAUCAAAGGUAUUCAACUUAAAACCCUAAUGACAAAACUGUGAACUUGCAUGCUUGUUACUCAAAUUAAUGGUAUUAGAGUGCUUAAUGAUUCUGUUUUCUUCUAUGUUAUGCAUGUUUACUCUAUCAUUUGGUAUUAGAGCAUGAUUUUAAGCACUCAAUUAACGUUAACUCGAGCAUGGUGGGUGAAUUUCAUAAGUUGCAUGAAAUGUCUACUGAUAUGGUGUUUUUUCAGUUUUGGUAUUAGAUUAUUCUUUAAUUAUGUUGUAAUUGUUGUAAUUGGCUCUUUGUUUAUGGGCCUUAAUGUGUGAUGAAAAGUCUACAAUUUUGUUAGAUCAAUAGAGUUGUAAUUAGGUUGUAAUUGAAGAAAGAAGCAAGAAGCAAGACAGGUUAGUUGUAGUUUUUUCAAAGAUAAUGCUACUGCUAGGCAGCAUUACAACGCUGCUCAUCUCAGCCUAGAAUGCACAUGCGCGAGGAGCCGGUUUGAAGGAGUGGUCUGGUUCAAUGAGUUUGACUGGUUGAAGGUCCGAUUCAAACAGUCUUGGUCCGUCCAGCACUUUUUAGAGUUUUGGAUGUCUGGUUCGAGUGGUCCAAAAGUGUUUUGAAGCUGUUUUGGGUUAUUAUUGUAGUAAUUAGCUUAUUUGCUUGCUUAGGAUGCCAAAAAGGGUCCAUAUU